rnacentral:rRNA from 1 species
GGACUACCGGGGUAUCUAAUCCCGUUUGCUCCCCUGGCUUUCGUGCCUCAGUGUCAGGUUCUGUCCAGUGACUCGCUUUCGCCUCUGGUGUUCCUCUCGAUAUCUACGCAUUUCACUGCUACACCGAGAAUUCCAGUCACCUCUCCAGACCUCGAGCGAUGCAGUUUCGAAUGCCAUUCCGGAGUUAGGCUCCGGGAUUUCACACCCGACUUGCAUCACCACCUACGCACCCUUUACGCCCAAUAAAUCCGAACAACGCUUGGCACCUCUGUAUUACCGCGGCUGCUGGCAC